AUAUUUGAGAGUUUGAUCCUGGCUCAGGAUGAACGCUGGCGGCGUGCCUAACACAUGCAAGUCGAGCGAUCUCUUCGGAGAGAGCGGCGGACGGGUGAGUAACGCGUGGGUAACCUGCCCUGUACACACGGAUAACAUACCGAAAGGUAUACUAAUACGGGAUAACAUAUGAAAGUCGCAUGGCUUUUAUAUCAAAGCUCCGGCGGUACAGGAUGGACCCGCGUCUGAUUAGCUAGUUGGUAAGGUAAUGGCUUACCAAGGCAACGAUCAGUAGCCGACCUGAGAGGGUGAUCGGCCACACUGGAACUGAGACACGGUCCAGACUCCUACGGGAGGCAGCAGUGGGGAAUAUUGCACAAUGGGCGAAAGCCUGAUGCAGCAACGCCGCGUGAGCGAUGAAGGCCUUCGGGUCGUAAAGCUCUGUCCUCAAGGAAGAUAAUGACGGUACUUGAGGAG
rnacentral:ncRNA from 1 species